rnacentral:rRNA from 1 species
GAUGAACGCUGGCGGCGUGCCUAAUACAUGCAAGUCGAGCGAACAGACGAGGAGCUUGCUCCUUUGAUGUUAGCGGCGGACGGGUGAGUAACACGUAGGUAACCUACCUAUAAGACUGGGAUAACUUCGGGAAACCGGAGCUAAUACCGGAUAAUAUUUCGAACCGCAUGGUUCGAUAGUGAAAGAUGGCUUUGCUAUCACUUAUAGAUGGACCUGCGCCGUAUUAGCUAGUUGGUAAGGUAACGGCUUACCAAGGCAACGAUACGUAGCCGACCUGAGAGGGUGAUCGGCCACACUGGAACUGAGACACGGUCCAGACUCCUACGGGAGGCAGCAGUAGGGAAUCUUCCGCAAUGGGCGAAAGCCUGACGGAGCAACGCCGCGUGAGUGAUGAAGGUCUUCGGAUCGUAAAACUCUGUUAUUAGGGAAGAACAAACGUGUAAGUAACUGUGCACGUCUUGACGGUACCUAAUCAGAAAGCCACGGCUAACCACGUG